rnacentral:Y_RNA from 1 species
AGCUGGUCCAAAGGUAGUAAGUUACCUCAACUGAUUGUUUACAGUCAGUUACAGAUCAAACUAUUUGUUCUACUCUUUCCCCCCUUCUCACUACUAUACUUUAUUAGUCUUUA